GUCUUCUUGGUGUAAUGGUCAGCACGAUCAGCGCGUAUUCGAGAGGUCCGGGGUUCGAGUCCCGGCGAGGACA
rnacentral:tRNA from 1 species